rnacentral:rRNA from 1 species
UACGAAGGGGCUAGCGUUGCUCGGAAUUACUGGGCGUAAAGCGCACGUAGGCGGAUUGUUAAGUCGGGGGUGAAAUCCUGGAGCUCAACUCCAGAACUGCCUUUGAUACUGAGGAUCUUGAGUUCGGGAGAGGUGAGUGGAACUGCGAGUGUAGAGGUGAAAUUCGUAGAUAUUCGCAAGAACACCAGUGGCGAAGGCGGCUCACUGGCCCGAUACUGACGCUGAGGCACGGAAAGCGUGGGGAGCAAACAGGG